rnacentral:rRNA from 1 species
UCAAGCCGACCAUAUCCCGUUGAAAACAGGGGUUCACGUCCGGUCACCGAAUUUAAGCAAUGUUCGGUACGGUUAGUAGUUGCAUGGGUGACAGGCUAAGAAUACCGUGUAUUGCAACAC